rnacentral:lncRNA from 1 species
UGCUAGUACCAUGUAUCUUCACUUCAGUGCUGCCUCCAAACUUAAUUACUUGGCUUCCCUCAGGGCUGCAAACUGAGGCAGCUUCAAAAUGAGGGUGGCUUAUAUUAAAUAUAUUUUAAUUACUGUCUUCUACAUUCGUAACAGUAAAGGUGGCUCUGUUAAUCAAAGGGAAUGAAUUUUCCAUCACUCGGAUCACUAGUUUUAUUUUCAAAGACAUUUUCACAUUUGUUUGAAUUCUUCAAUGUACCUAAAGACAUAUUUAUAACUUAUUUGAUUCCAUCUGAAAAAGAACCAGAAAAAUGUCCUGCAUACUGGAGUUGAAUGAAACUUGUCAAGCUUGAGUUCAAAUUCAUCCCUGUUAUCUUCAACAGACAUCAUCAGUCAUGCAGACAGUUUUCCCAUUGCUCUCUCAACUUUUUUCCAUCUUGGUAAAGAAAUAUUCGAAUU